CUUGUCUCAAAGAUUAAGCCAUGCAUGUCUAAGUAUAAGCAACUAUACAGUGAAACUGCGAAUGGCUCAUUAAAUCAGUUAUCGUUUAUUUGAUAGUACCUUACUACUUGGAUAACCGUGGUAAUUCUAGAGCUAAUACAUGCUAAAAAUCCCGACCUCUGGAAGGGAUGUAUUUAUUAGAUAAAAAACCAAUGCCUUCGGGCUCCUUGGUGAUUCAUGAUAACUUAACGAAUCGCAUGGCCUUGCGCCGGCGAUGGUUCAUUCAAAUUUCUGCCCUAUCAACUUUCGAUGGUAGGAUAGUGGCCUACCAUGGUUUCAACGGGUAACGGGGAAUUAGGGUUCGAUUCCGGAGAGGGAGCCUGAGAAACGGCUACCACAUCCAAGGAAGGCAGCAGGCGCGCAAAUUACCCAAUCCCGAUUCGGGGAGGUAGUGACAAUAAAUACUGAUACAGGGCUCUUUUGGGUCUUGUAAUUGGAAUGAGUACAAUUUAAAUCCCUUAACGAGGAACAAUUGGAGGGCAAGUCUGGCC
rnacentral:rRNA from 1 species